UACGUAGGGUGCAAGCGUUAAUCGGAAUUACUGGGCGUAAAGCGUGCGCAGGCGGUUUUGUAAGUCUGUCGUGAAAGCCCCGGGCUUAACCUGGGAAUUGCGAUGGAGACUGCAAGGCUUGAAUCUGGCAGAGGGGGGUAGAAUUCCACGUGGUAGCAGGUGAAAUGCGUAGAGAUGUGGAGGAACACCGAUGGCGAAGGCAGCCCCCUGGGUCAAGAUUGACGCUCAUGCACGAAGCGUG
rnacentral:rRNA from 1 species